UCUGCCUUGAAGAUCGGAGUGCUUAGCACUCUGUGAAACAAGAUACAGGCUAGCGGCGGACGGGUGAGUAACACGUGGGUAACCUGCCCAAGAGAUCGGGAUAACACCUGGAAACAGAUGCUAAUACCGGAUAACAACAGAUGAUGCCUAUCAACUGUUUAAAAGAUGGUUCUGCUAUCACUCUUGGAUGGACCUGCGGUGCAUUAGCUAGUUGGGUAGGGGUAACGGGCCUACCAAGGCGAUGAUGCAUAGCCGAGUUGAGAGACUGAUCGGCCACAUUGGGACUGAGACACGGCCCAAAACUCCUACGGGAGGCAGCAGUAGGGGAAUCUUCCACAAUGGACGCAAGUCUGAUGGAGCAAACGCCGCGUGAGUGAAGAAGGGUUUCGGCUCGUAAAGCUCUGUUGUUGGUGAAGAAGGACAGGGGGUAGUAACUGACCUUUGUUUGACGGUAAUCAAUUAGAAAAGUCACGGGCUAACUACGUGCCAGCAGCCGCGGGUAAAU
rnacentral:rRNA from 1 species